CGGUGUUUAACUGGCGUGAUGUGGGACGUCCUACCGGUGGGCUUAGCCUCGCGAGGGGCGGCCCAACUAAUAUCCCGUCGCGGUGCUCUUUACUGAGUGUCGAGUCGGGCCGGUACGUUUACUUUGAACAAAUUAGAGUGCUUAAAGCAGGCUAUCCUCGCCUGAAUACUGCGUGCAUGGAAUAAUGGAAUAGGACCUCGGUUCUAUUUUGUUGGUUUUCGGAACCCCGAGGUAAUGAUUAAUAGGGACAGAUGGGGGCAUUCGUAUUGCGACGUUAGAGGUGAAAUUCUUGGAUCGUCGCAAGACGGACAGAAGCGAAAGCAUUUGCCAAAAAUGUUUUCAUUAAUCAAGAACGAAAGUUAGAGGUUCGAAGGCGAUCAGAUACCGCCCCUAGUUCUAACCAUAAACGAUGCCAGCUAGCGAUCCGCCGAAGUUCCUCCGAUGACUCGGCGGGCAGCUUCCGGGAAACCAAAGCUUUUGGGUUCCGGGGGAAGUAUGGUUGCAAAGCUGAAACUUAAAGGAAUUGACGGAAGGGCACCACCAGGAGUGGAGCCUGCGGCUUAAUUUGACUCAACACGGGAAACCUCACCAGGCCCAGACACCGGAAGGAUUGACAGAUUGAUAGCUCUUUCUUGAUUCGGUGGGUGGUGGUGCAUGGCCGUUCUUAGUUGGUGGAGCGAUUUGUCUGGUUAAUUCCGAUAACGAACGAGACUCUAGCCUGCUAAAUAGGCGUACCUUAUGGUAUCGCGAAGGCCCCCGGCUUCGGCCGGUGGGUUUUUACUACCAACGUACAAACAAAUCUUCUAGAGGGACAGGCGG
rnacentral:rRNA from 1 species